rnacentral:rRNA from 1 species
AUAGGUUAAGUUAAUAAGGGCGCAUGGUGGAUGCCUUGGCACUAGAAGGCGAUGAAGGACGUGACUAACUACGAUAUGCCUCGGUUAGCUGUAAGUAAGCUUACCCGGGGGUUUCCGAAUGGGGCAACCCGAUCUUAAUGAUCAUCAUCUUUUUGAAUUCAUAGAUUAGAUGAAGCAAACGCUGUGAACUGAAACAUCUAAGUAGCAGUAGGAAAGUAAAGAAAUUUCGAUUCCGUCAGUAGCGGCGAGCGAACGCGGAAGAGCCCAAACCUGGAUGCUUGCAUCCAGGGGUUGUAGGACUGAUGUUGAGUUACAAAGGUAUAAGAUAGCAGAAACAGUUGGGAAGCUGUUCCAAAGAGGGUGACAGGCCCGUAUGCGAAAUCUUGUACUCUCUAAUCA